rnacentral:rRNA from 1 species
GAUGAACGCUGGCGGCGUGCUUAACACAUGCAAGUCGAGCGGUAAGGCCCUUUCGGGGGUACACGAGCGGCGAACGGGUGAGUAACACGUGGGUGACCUGCCCUCAGCUCUGGGAUAAGCCUGGGAAACCGGGUCUAAUACUGGAUAUGACUCCAUGACGCAUGUUGUGGGGUGGAAAGCCUUGUGCGGCUGAGGAUGGGCCCGCGGCCUAUCAGCUUGUUGGUGGGGUGAUGGCCUACCAAGGCGACGACGGGUAGCCGGCCUGAGAGGGCGACCGGCCACACUGGGACUGAGACACGGCCCAGACUCCUACGGGAGGCAGCAGUGGGGAAUCUUGCGCAAUGGGCGAAAGCCUGACGCAGCGACGCCGCGUGAGGGAUGACGGCCUCGGUGU